GCAGAGCACUCUACGGGAGGCAGCAGUGGGGAAUAUUGCACAAUGGGCGCAAGCCUGAUGCAGCCAUGCCGCGUGUAUGAAGAAGGCCUUCGGGUUGUAAAGUACUUUCAGCAGUGAGGAAGGUGGGUAUGUUAAUAGCAUAUUCAUUUGACGUUAGCUGCAGAAGAAGCACCGGCUAACUCCGUGCCAGCAGCCGCGGUAAUACGGAGGGUGCGAGCGUUAAUCGGAAUUACUGGGCGUAAAGCGCAUGCAGGUGGUUUGUUAAGUCAGAUGUGAAAGCCCGGGGCUCAACCUCGGAAUUGCAUUUGAAACUGGCAAACUAGAGUACUGUAGAGGGGGUAGAAUUUCAGGUGUAGCGGUGAAAAUGCGUAGAGAUCUGAAGGAAUACCGGUGGCGAAGGCGGCCCCCCUGGACAGAUACUGACACUCAGAUGCGAAAGCGUGGGGAGCAAACAGGAUUAGAUACCCUGGUAG
rnacentral:rRNA from 1 species